UAUGGGACAGGGGAGGAAAGAAAAAAAUAUUCUGAACAAACUGUCCCAUAGUAAGAAACACUAUGGAACAGUUCAGAAUAUUUUUUUUUUUCUGGGUGUCCUC